rnacentral:rRNA from 1 species
CAGAGGGGGCAAGCGUUGUUCGGAAUUACUGGGCGUAAAGGGCGCGUAGACGGCCUUCUAAGUCGAACGUGAAAUCCCCGGGCUCAACCCGGGAACUGCGUCCGAUACUGGAAGGCUUGAAUCCGGGAGAGGGAUGCGGAAUUCCAGGUGUAGCGGUGAAAUGCGUAGAUAUCUGGAGGAACACCGGUGGCGAAGGCGGCAUCCUGGACCGGCAUUGACGCUGAGGCGCGAAAGCCAGGGGAGCAAACGGGAUUAGAUACCCCGGUAGUCCUGGCCCUAAACGAUGAAUGCUUGGUGUGGCGGGUAUCGAUCCCUGCCGUGCCGUAGCUAAUGCAUUAAGCAUUCCGCCUGGGGAGUACGGUCGCAAGGCUG